GACCGUGAAGUGUUUUGGCGAGCUUCUAACCGUCCAUUAGGACAACUUUUUAACAUCUGACCUCAAAUCAGGUAGGACUACCCGCUGAACUUAAGCAUUCA
rnacentral:rRNA from 1 species